GACAGAGGUGCCAAGCGUUAGGCGGAAUCACUGGGCUUAAAGCGUGCGUAGUCGGUUAUCUAAGUCGGGUGUGAAAUCCCCGGGCUCAACCUGAGAAUUGCAUUCGAUACUGGAUAGCUAGAGUUCGGCAGAGGGAAGCGGAAUUUCCGGUGUAGCGGUGAAAUGCGCAGAUAUCAGGAGGAACACCGGUGGCGAAGGCGGGUCUCUGGGCCGAUACUGACGCUGAGGAGCGAAAGCGUGGGGAGCGAACAGG
rnacentral:rRNA from 1 species